UAUGCAAAUUAGGCAAUGACAUCAUUUAGCGACUUCUAGCGACUUUUAGGACAGCCAAUAGCGAUUUUCCUUACUGAGGAGUUGGCAACACUGCUUGCAUCAACAUCUCACUGCACCUCAUUCCGAAAUUUCCUGUGAACAGCUACAAAAUACAACGUUUGGAUUAACUUGUCAUGGAAUAACAAGGCAACAGACCUCAAUUGGUCAUGAAACUGCUGUCAGUCAAUUGUCCAAUUACUUUAGAGUCUCUGAAAAACAGGGGACUGUGUAUGUCUAUAAUUCCUCAAGAGUUAAUGCAAUACUUUUGUUAAACCCCUUGAAUUGAAGCUGAAAGCCUAUACUUCAGUCACAUCUUGACUGUUUGAUUUAAAACUCACUGCUGUGACAUGGAAAGGCACAAUUACAGAAACUGCAUCAUCAUUUGCAUUUUUGGACCCGAAUUUAAAUACAGGGUCAGUAAAGUAACAUAAAACAAAGCCAGUGAGGAUACGCGAUACUGCCUCACAUAGAUGGUUUCUUUUAUGCAGUGCUGGGUUGACCCACUUAUCUUGGGCAGUGAAUAGAGUUUUCCUUCAAAACAAAGAACUAUAAACAAACAAACAAACAAAAAGACAAAGAACGCAAACAUAAAAAGCCACAAAACAAACAUAUAAAUACCGAUCAGCAGUUUAUUCUCUGUGGUGCUUUUAAUAAAUCAUGAAUCACUUUUGAGUUUUGCAGGAAAGAUAAACAUAAAUAAAAAUAAAAUGUUAUUUUUCAGAAGGACUGAGGGGACUCCAGCUGAGCCUGCUGGUUGAGGCGAUGCAGGUUUUAAUGGCCCAUGUGAGGAGCUGGUUGAGUCCCAGUGAGAAGCAGGUUUAAUGGCACUCGUGAGGGACAAAAAGCAGCUCAGGAACCUUGUGCUGGCUUUGACUCUAAAUGAAUUUUAAAUUACUUUGUCUUGAGGAAAUUUCAUCAUCAAAAAAUAAAAUAAAAAAAUCAGCAGGCAAAUUUCCCCUGUGAUGGACCGAGUUCAGUGUCGGUCCCCAAAGUAUUUGAACAAUCAUCCAGCUCUACAGGUGACAGCUGCCACUGCUGCCUUAAACAGCACGCUUUAAUCUGAAAACUGUUAGCAAUGUCGCUACAAAGGUGCACCUAUAUAUCGUCUCCCUCCUGCUUGUGCUGUGUUCUCUCCUCCUUCACUUUCUGCAGGUAUAUGGAGAACUGCAUGUUCUGUACUUAUGAUGCAACCCGUCGAGCGUUUAUUGUUGUAUUGUUUCUUGUCUCUCUAAGAUCUUCUUUUCUGUCUUGUCUUUCUAAGCAGUCACGGCAGAUGGCUGCCCUCCCAGAGUCUGCUUCUACCGGAGACGUCCUACUGUUAAAAGAUGGCUGGAGGGACGUGUCUGCGUUUGAUCCACAGAUGCUGGCAGGCUGAGCCCCGGCAGGCAAACAAGAAUAGGGAAUCUCAUCCUCUGUUUCCAGCUUCCAGGGACCGGCUCCAGGUGUAAGGCAGGAACAAGGACUGAAUGAUGGGAGAACUAGCCUGACAUGUUCUUUACAGCGGGGGAAACAAAGACCUAAGACUGAAACCAUGAAUCCUCCACAGCGUCCAGGGUUCAUUGCCCACUCUCCAUAUCUGAAUUCCAUGAGCCUCAUAGACUGCCCUUCCAGUUCACAUUGUAUAUAUGACCCCACUGCACUACAAGCUUGUUUGUUCUAAUUUACAUGCCCCAACCUCGCUCCCUCUUUCAAAUCAUUCACCUCCCAUUAGUACACGGUGUUCUGUCUGGUUCUGGAGCUGCACCAGUCCCCUCUGACUCCUUCCUCAAACCACAGCUUACACCAUCUGCCAUUGUGUGCUAGAAAUGCUGUCAAUUUCUUGGUCCUGUCCCAGAUACAUCUGGCUAAUAAGCAUUCUGUAGUGACGCAUGCUGGUUUGAUUGAAGUUUGCUCAGAGUGAAAAGAAACCAAACCAUCAACUGAUUUUGGAACAGAGAAAUUAAAGUAUAUGUGUGAAAAUGCAUUUAAAUGCCAUUUAAGGCAUUUUUAUCUGACAUCAGCUGAUGACCUAAACAGCUUGUUUUUGUUCGAUGGCUUUCUCCAAAAGUUGUAGACCUAAAAUGUUACUGCAAGCAUAAAUGAAGUUGAUUGUUUGGUGCCGAACUUUUCCAGCUGGUCACUACUCAAAAGUCAAGUAUGCCCAAAUGUGUCUGUGUAGGUUCUCAGUCAUCCGGGACAUCCAAUUGUCUGCCAUCUAUAAUCCAGUUUUGAGGUCCCUUCCCAGACGCCUUCACGCUCACUCACAUCCUGGGCCAUUUAUAACCUUAGCAAGUCACAUGAUAGAUAGGGUGAGGCUAGGUUUCACAAUGGGUUCACCCGAAACCUUGGCUGACUAUGGCCCAUACCCGUUUUCACACCUUGGUUUGUGUGAUUAGGCAGAGGAUCAAUAGGGGGUCCAUGGCCCUCUGGGAGACUUAAAAUUUGGGACUCUCCACCAAGAGUACUUAGAACUGAAGAAGCUUCUUGGAUGAAAUGUCUUCAAGAAACCUAAAGAAGUCCAGAUGCUUUUCUUUCCAAGCUCCUUAGACUACGCCCAAAUGCGUGCACAUGGAAUUUGCUGCAAAGAUCCCUAAAACACAGUCAAGACAACAAAUAAACUAAUAUGGAUGACCCCCCCCCAAAACAAUUAUCUUGUGACUGUGAUGAUUUAUCUGUGAGGGCACAUUUGGUGUUAUGGUCUCUAAAUAAAACGCCUCAUCUAAAUAUAGUAAAUCAAACUGUAGAUUAUUGUGAGGUUUUUGCGAGUGUGUGUUUGUUUGUGGCUUUGAGUUUCAAUAUGUAUUUACAUGAAGCUGAAUAAUACUCAGUGUUCCUGCGUGAGGAGGUGGUAAGACAAAGGGUCAUCAACACGCACCUUCAGCACAGACUGCAAGCUCUGCCAAUGCAUACAUGAAACAGUGCAGCGAAGAACGUCUCUGUCACACUAAUUAGCCUUAAUUUACAUCAUUUAGAUGGAUCGGAAAAUCCAUCUCUACAUGAUUUAAGUAGGUGCUCGUGCUAUUUCAGUGGGAUAUUCUAUGGCAUAUAAAGACAUAUCUGGUGGUGCGUUCAAUAAAAAGCAGUCCAUGCUGUGUUUAGGGAAGAUUAAGAGAGUCUGCAUCUGUGCUGUCAGACCACUGCUGUGUGGGGAACUUAGACGAUAGAUUGGUUUAUUAUUUAAGACAAAAUAACUAUUUGGCUUUUGAGCAUUGAGCAGUAUUGUCUGAUUAUUUAUCUAUUUUUUUGUAAGCAUACAUUUGGUCUUGAUGUUGCUAUUUUAUCCACACAUGAUGAAACUAGUGCACUGGAGCAGGAGCAACCUCCCAGCGUAAAACCAUCUGCCCCCUUAUACUGCUGCAAAUGUCCUAGAACCGAUCUGCUGUGGCCCAGUAAAGAGUUCAGUUUGAGUUAUGACGUGGAUUGAAGAAUGUAUUUUUGUGGCAUGCUGUGAACAUGGAUUGGCUCUGUGUGUGAAAACAAAAUAAAUAUUUAUGAAACCGGUUCUCCAACCUUUUCUGGCUUUCCCCACCUCAGAAUCUGAAGUUUUACUCAAUAAUCAACACUGAAUGUUGCUUAAAUAAACAUGAGUGUGACUGCACCACUAAAUUCUGGCUUAUUAAUUUUCCCUAAACAUCAAAAAACUCCACGACCCAGCACUGGGGCCCACACCACAGUCUGAGAACCGCUCAUCUGUGACAAUAACACCACCUGACAAUGAUGAACAGAUUCACCAUAAUACAAAAA